rnacentral:rRNA from 1 species
GCGUUGUCCGGAAUUACUGGGCGUAAAGAGCGCGUAGGCGGCGCCACACGACGGUCGUGAAAGCCCCCGGCUCAACCGGGGAGGGUCGGUCGUAACGGUGGUGCUUGAGUACGGGAGAGGGAAGUGGAACUCCGGGAGUAGCGGUGAAAUGCGUAGAGACCCGGAGGAACACCAGUGGCGAAGGCGGCUUCCUGGCCUGUUACUGACGCUGUGGCGCGAAAGCUGG